GACGAACGCUGGCGGCGUGCCUAACACAUGCAAGUCGAACGGACAUAAACUCUUCGGAGGUUAUGUUAGUGGCGGACGGGUGAGUAACGCGUGAGCAACCUGCCUUUCAGAGGGGGAUAACGUUUGGAAACAGACGCUAAUACCGCAUAAGAUAGUAGUAUCGCAUGGUACAGCUAUCAAAGGAGCAAUUCACUGAAAGAUGGGCUCGCGUCCGAUUAGAUAGUUGGUGAGGUAAUGGCUCACCAAGUCAGCGAUCGGUAGCCGGACUGAGAGGUUGAACGGCCACAUUGGGACUGAGACACGGCCCAGACUCCUACGGGAGGCAGCAGUGGGGGAUAUUGCACAAUGGGCGAAAGCCUGAUGCAGCAACGCCGCGUGAGGGAAGAC
rnacentral:rRNA from 1 species